rnacentral:rRNA from 1 species
AAUCUACCCUCAAGUGGGGAAUAACUGGAAGAAAUUUCAGCUAAUACCGCAUAACACUUACGAGUCAAAGCAAGCAAUUGCGCUUGGGGAGGAGGUCGCGGCAGAUUAGCUAGUUGGCGGGGUAAUGGCCCACCAAGGCGAUGAUCUGUAUCCGGCCUGAGAGGGCGCACGGACACACUGGAACUGAAACACGGUCCAGACUCCUACGGGAGGCAGCAGUGGGGAAUUUUGCGCAAUGGGGGAAACCCUGACGCAGCAACGCCGCGUGGAG